rnacentral:rRNA from 1 species
CAGUCGCCGCGGGAAUACGUAGGGUGCAAGCGUCAAUCGGAAUUACUGGGCGUAAAGCGUGCGCAGGCGGUUCUAUAAGACAGAUGUGAAAUCCCCGGGCUCAACCUGGGAACUGCAUUUGUGACUGCAGAGCUGGAGUGCGGCAGAGGGGGAUGGAAUUCCGCGUGUAGCAGUGAAAUGCGCAGAUAUGCGGAGGAAGACCGAUGGCGAAGGCAAUCCCCUGGGCCUGCACUGACGCUCAUGCACGAAAGCGUGGGGAGCAAACAGGAUUAGAUACCCGCGUAGUCCCUGUCUCUUAUAC